UACGUAGGGUCCGAGCGUUGUCCGGAAUUAUUGGGCGUAAAGAGCUUGUAGGCGGUUUGUCGCGUCUGCUGUGAAAAUCCGGGGCUCAACCCCGGACUUGCAGUGGGUACGGGCAGACUAGAGUGUGGUAGGGGAGACUGAAAUUCCUGGUGUAGCGGUGGAAUGCGCAGAUAUCAGGAGGAACACCGAUGGCGAAGGCAGGUCUCUGGGCCACUACUGACGCUGAGAAGCGAAAGCAUGGGGAGCGAACAGG
rnacentral:rRNA from 1 species